GAUGAAGAACGUAGCGAAAUGCGAUAAGUAAUGUGAAUUGCAGAAUUCAGUGAAUCAUCGAAUCUUUGAACGCACAUUGCGCCCGCCAGUAUUCUGGCGGGCAUGCCUGUCCGAGCGUCAUUUCAACCCUCGAACCCCUCCGGGGGGUCGGCGUUGGGGACCUCGGGAGCCCCUAAGACGGGAUCCCGGCCCCGAAAUACAGUGGCGGUCUCGCCGCAGCCUCUCCUGCGCAGUAGUUUGCACAACUCGCACCGGGAGCGCGGCGCGUCCACGUCCGUAAAACACCCAACUUCUGAAAUGUUGAACUCGGAUCAGGUAGGAAUACCCGCUGAACUUAAGCAUAUCAAUAAGCGGAGGA
rnacentral:misc_RNA from 1 species